CCAGAGACAGGCAUCCCCAGAAACAUCAGUCUCCAUCGAUGGCUCACAAAACCUAGUUUAUGAGACAGAACUCAGAGCCCAGCUUAAAGGAAAUUCACCAGAAGUAAUUAAGAAUUCAGCAGCUGAACAGCAAGUUCUCUCAGCUGCUGGAGGAGAAGAACACCCUCUCCAUCCAGCUCAGCGACACCAGCCAGAGUCUCCGCAAGAACCAGCAUCACUCCAGUGACCUCUCCAAGCACUGCGCUGUCCUGGAGAAGCAGGUGCAGGAGCUGCAGGAGGGGCCACCAAAUGUAGAUGAUGUUCCAGGAGUGCCCUAGGAAAUGAAUGGAAAGAGAAAGAGGGAUCCGGAGGCCACAAGGGAGCCACGACCAAGUUAGAGGAGCAGGAUUCGCCCUCCAUCCUACACUAUUGUCUGAAGUCCAGCAGCAGCUCUGCAGAAUGAAACAAGGAGUGAGUUACAGAAGCUGCUAGAAGAGCGAGACCAAAGAUUGGCCAUUGAGAAUGCACUCUUCUUGGCCGAGGAGCAGAUCAGAUGGCUGGAGCCGAGUGAAUGGGAUUCGGCCUGGACUCCUAUCAUUGGUGCCCGUGGCUCUCAGGAGACGUCAGUGUGGAUAGACAUCCUGGCAGCAGCUGCCGAAGCGUAAGAGGGAAGGACACAGGGAGAGCUCCGCUGUGGGAACGGGCUGAGACCCGGAGUGGAUGGAAGCGGGUCUGCAUUCACUCUGCCAUUUCCGGACCCGAGUGCCACUACUUGCAACCAUCUACUUCCUGAUGGUUCAUGUCCUCCUCAUCCUGUGUUUCACAGGUCAUCUAUAAACUCCUCACUCCACCACAGCUCUCAGAACUUGUAAUUCCUUCAUCUCUAAUGUCAGAUUUGUAGUUUUUAGAACAGUAUUCCCACUUCCAACCCAUCUGCAUCUCCUUGGAAAGUUUCCAUAACAACAGAGGUGGCUGUGAGGACAGGUUAGAACGCAAGGCCUAGUGCAUCCCUCCAUAGGGGUCCUGAAGCCACUUGGGAGCCGGAGCAUCACAACUUCUAGUCCCGAGAACCCCUGAGCUACAGCACGCGGUAUGAGUUAUUCUGUCUUCAACGCCAUUGUCACCUGCCUUUGUGAACAGGGCUGAGGCAAUGGGAAGAGAAGACAAAACACCUGAUCCAGACCUGAGAGCAUUGGUCACGAGUGACACCACUGUGCCUGUCCUCCCCUUGCUAACUGCCGGCUUUCUCAUUGUGGACAUGAUGUCUUCCCUUCUGUGCUCAUCACCUGAAGAAGGGAGAGGACUGGUGGUUCACUGAUCAGCUCUACCGUCUAUGGUGAUUACAUUUUAGUCACAACAUCCCAAGGACU